AUUUAAUUUUAAAAAUCAUCAAAACUGUAUAAUUUUAAAGGGGCAGCAUAAGAGAAGACAGAUAAAUCUUGAUAUCGUGCAUUUUAUAUCCGGUUUCAGAUCUCGAGCUUGAUCUCAUUCUCAAUCUGAUUUGACGCUUGAGAGGAUGACAAAUGGUCUUCUCCUUGAUCAUGAGGCCGCUCUAUGGCAUUGCUCACCGUGUGUGUGUGGUGAAUGCCUUGAUCUUGUUUUAAGAUUCAAAACCCAUUGCGACGCUCAUCAUGCCCAAAUUUGGUUUUAAAAUUCGUAGCCCUGGGUGGUGCUCACCAUGCUAGAUCUGUUUUUAAUUCGAAACGCCAGAACUAUCUCGAUCUCGAUCUCAAUCUGAUUCGAUGCUUGAGAGGAUGACAAAUGGUGUUCUCCUUGAUCAUGAGGCCGCUCUAUGGCAUUGCUCACCGUGUGCGUGUGGCGAAUGCCUUGAUAUGGUUUUAAGAUUCAAAACCCAUAGCGGCGCUCAUCAUGCCCAAAUUUGAUUUUAAGAUUCAUAGCCCUCUCGGUGGUGCUCACCAUGCUAGAUCAAUUUUUAAUUCGAAACGCCAGAACUGUAUGUUGUUUUGGUUUCUUUGUUUGCUUUUACUCUUUGGUUGAAUUUUUUUAUGUUUGUGUUUUGUUGAUAUGAAUUAAUGAUUGUCGGGUCACAAAUCUGGGUGAAUGAAGGCUUAAAUGUUUGUAUUGAAUGUUGGCUUUUAUAAUAAAUAUGUUAAAAAAAUAUCUA